rnacentral:rRNA from 1 species
UACAGAGGGUGCGAGCGUUGUCCGGAAUUACUGGGCGUAAAGCGCGUGUAGGCGGCGUCGUUAGUCGGAUGUGAAAGCCCUCGGCUCAACCGAGGAAGUGCAUCCGAUACUGCGAUGCUUGAGUGUUGGAGGGGGUGGCGGAAUUCCCGGUGUAGAGGUGAAAUUCGUAGAUAUCGGGAGGAACACCUGUGGCGAAGGCGGCCACCUGGACAACAACUGACGCUGAGACGCGAAAGCGUGGGUAGCAAACAGG